rnacentral:lncRNA from 1 species
UUAGAGAAAUUUAGAAGGUGAUUGAAAUUGCACCCUUUAUUUUUCCACUCUAACUAGAGUUUAGAGGGGAAAAUAGAGUGGAUCGGAAAUGUCCUUAAUUCACCCACUCCAAAAGCACCGAGUCACCGACGACUUGAUAGUGAACCGGGUUCAUAUACCGGAUCAACCAUCUCUCAAAAAUGAAAUCAAGAAACCACUGAGCCUUUCUUCCUUUUUUUAGACGAGAAAAAAAUGGAGCCUCGGAGGAAGUUAUUAUUGCUGGUAGUUUACCUGCGUGUAAUUACAAAUUUUACCCUACAAGUAAGAGGUUGGACUGGAGAAAUUCAUGGCAGAGUUGUUUGUGACGUCUGUGGUGAUUCUUCUGUUGGUCCUGAAGACCAUGUUCUUCUGAGUAUAUAUAGGAAGAAUUCCCAG